rnacentral:rRNA from 1 species
UACGGAGGGGGCAAGCGUUGUCCGGAAUUACUGGGCGUAAAGCGCGCGCAGGCGGCUGUGCAAGUUAGAGGUGAAAGCCCGAAGCUCAACUUCGGAAUUGCCUUUAAAACUGCAUCGCUAGAAUCGUGGAGAGGUAAGUGGAAUUCCGAGUGUAGAGGUGAAAUUCGUAGAUAUUCGGAAGAACACCAGUGGCGAAGGCGACUUACUGGACACGUAUUGACGCUGAGGUGCGAAAGCGUGGGGAGCAAACAGG